rnacentral:rRNA from 1 species
UACGGGAGGCAGCAGUGGGGAAUAUUGCACAAUGGGCGAAAGCCUGAUGCAGCUAUGCCGCGUGUAUGAAGAAGGCCUUAGGGUUGUAAAGUACUUUCAUCGGGGAGGAAAAAAACAAAAACUAAUAAUUUUAUUUUCUUGACGUUACCCGAAAAAGAAAGCCCCGGCUAACUCCGUGCCAGCAGCCGCGGUAAUACGGAGGGUGCUAGCGUUAAUCAGAAUUACUGGGCGUAAAGAGCACGUAGGUGGUUUUUUUAAGUUCAGAUGUGAAAUCCCUGGGCUUAACCUAGGAACUGCAUUUUGAAACUGAAAUACUAGAGUAUCGUAGAGGGAGGUAGAAUUCUAGGUGUAGCGGUGAAAUGCGUAGAUAUCUGGAGGAAUACCUGUGGCGAAAGCGGCCUCCUAAACGAAUACUGACACUGAGGGUGCGAAAAGCGUGGGGAGCAAACAGGGAUUAGAUACC